AAGUUUCAACAACGGAUCUCUUGGCUCUCGCAUCGAUGAAGAACGCAGCGAAAUGCGAUAAGUAAUGUGAAUUGCAGAAUUCAGUGAAUCAUCGAAUCUUUGAACGCACCUUGCGCUCCUUGGUAUUCCUUGGAGCAUGCCUGUUUGAGUAU
rnacentral:rRNA from 1 species